rnacentral:rRNA from 1 species
AACGAACGCUGGCGGCAUGCCUAACACAUGCAAGUCGAACGAGACCUUCGGGUCUAGUGGCGAAAGGGUGCGUAACGCGUGGGAACCUGCCCUUAGGUUCGGAAUAACUCCCCGAAAGGGGUGCUAAUACCGGAUAAUGUCUUCGGACCAAAGAUUUAUCGCCUUUGGAUGGGCCCGCGUUGGAUUAGCUAGUUGGUAGGGUAAAAGCCUACCAAGGCGACGAUCCAUAGCUGGUCUGAGAGGAUGAUCAGCCACACUGGGACUGAGACACGGCCCAGACUCCUACGGGAGGCAGAAGUGGGGAAUAGUGGACAAUGGGCGAAAGCCUGAGCCAGCAAGGCAGCGUGAGUGAUGAAGGCCUUAGGGUUGUAAAGCUCUUUUAACCGGGAUGAUAAUGACAGUACCGGGAGAAUAAGCUCCGGAUAACUCCGUU